GUGUCAGCCGCCGCGGUAAUACGUAGGGUGCGAGCGUUAAUCGGAAUUACUGGGCGUAAAGCGUGCGCAGGUGGUUGUGUAAGUCAGAUGUGAAAUCCCCGGGCUCAACCUGGGAACUGCAUUUGAGACUGCACGGCUAGAGGAUGGCAGAGGGGGGUAGAAUUCCACGUGUAGCAGUGAAAUGCGUAGAGAUGUGGAGGAAUACCGAUGGCGAAGGCAGCCCCCUGGGCUAUUUCUGACACUCAUGCACGAAAGCGUGGGGAGCAAACAGGAUUAGAUACCCUCGUAGUCC
rnacentral:rRNA from 1 species